GUACACGCUGUGACUAGCAUAUCAAUAAGCGGAGGAAAAGAAACUAACAAGGAUUCCCUCAGUAACGGCGAGUGAAGCGGGAAGAGCUCAAAUUUGAAAUCUUGAAAGGUCACCUUUCACGAAUUGUAGUUUAAAGAAGUGUUCUCUGUUACGAUCGUAAUAUAAGUUCUUUGGAAUAGGACAUCACAGAGGGUGAGAAUCCCGUCUAUGAUUGCGAUUUGUAGCUUUGUGAUACACUUUCAAAGAGUCGGGUUGUUUGGGAAUGCAGCCCAAAACGGGAGGUAAAUUUCUUCUAAGGCUAAAUAUUGGCGAGAGACCGAUAGCGAACAAGUACCGUGAGGGAAAGAUGAAAAGAACUUUGAAAAGAGAGUUAAAUAGUACGUGAAAUUGUCAAAAGGGAAGCGUUUAACACCAGUGUUGUUUUCUGAAAAUCAACCUCUGUUAGCUUUAUGCAUGUUUGUUUAGACCUAAUCAGCUAUCUUUCAUGUUCUAUUGUUUGCAGUGGUGCACUUUUCAGUUUACAGGUCAACAUCAGUUUUUUUUACCGUAAAAAAGUUAAAGAAAGGUAGCUCAUGGCUCCGGUCGUGAGUGUUAUAGUCUUUUUCCUAUGCGGUAGGAGAGACUGAGGUCUGCAGUGUAGGCUAUUUGGCUAGAUACUCAGGUGCUAUGUGAUACCAUUUCAUAAACAACUUGUUGAUUAUGUUUUGUCUAUUGCAUACUCGCUUGUACUAUCAUACCUACGCUUAGGAUGUUGAGUAGCGACAUACGCAC
rnacentral:rRNA from 1 species